rnacentral:rRNA from 1 species
ACGCUCGACACCUACGGGAGGCAGCAGUGGGGAAUAUUGCACAAUGGGGGAAACCCUGAUGCAGCGACGCCGCGUGAGCGAAGAAGUAUUUCGGUAUGUAAAGCUCUAUCAGCAGGGAAGAAACUGACGGUACCCGACUAAGAGGCACCGGCUAAAUACGUGCCACAGCCGCGGUAAUCUGAGCGGGCUGGCAAGGC